rnacentral:rRNA from 1 species
AGAGUUUGAUCAUGGCUCAGAUUGAACGCUGGCGGCAGGCCUAACACAUGCAAGUCGAGCGCGAAAGUACUUCGGUAUGAGUAGAGCGGCGGACGGGUGAGUAACGCGUAGGAAUCUACCUAGUAGUGGGGGACAACUCGGGGAAACUCGAGCUAAUACCGCAUACGCCCUACGGGGGAAAGCGGGGGAUCUUCGGACCUCGCGCUAUUAGAUGAGCCUGCGUAAGAUUAGCUAGUUGGUGGGGUAAUGGCCUACCAAGGCGACGAUCUUUAGCUGGUCUGAGAGGAUGAUCAGCCACACCGGGACUGAGACACGGCCCGGACUCCUACGGGAGGCAGCAGUGGGGAAUAUUGCGCAAUGGGCGAAAGCCUGACGCAGCCAUGCCGCGUGUGUGAAGAAGGCCUUCGGGUUGUAAAGCACUUUCAAUUGGGAGGAAAGGUUCACGAUUAAUACUCGUGAGCUGUGACGUUACCUUUAGAAGAAGCACCGGCUAACUCCGUGCCAGCAGCCGCGGUAAUACGGAGGGUGCAAGCGUUAAUCGGAAUUACUGGGCGUAAAGCGCGCGUAGGUGGCUUGUUAAGUCGGAUGUGAAAGCCCCGGGCUC